GACGAACGCUGGCGGCGUGCUUAACACAUGCAAGUCGAACGGAAAGGCCCUGCUUUUGUGGGGUGCUCGAGUGGCGAACGGGUGAGUAACACGUGAGUAACCUGCCCUUGACUUUGGGAUAACUUCAGGAAACUGGGGCUAAUACCGGAUAGGAGCUCCUGCUGCAUGGUGGGGGUUGGAAAGUUUCGGCGGUUGGGGAUGGACUCGCGGCUUAUCAGCUUGUUGGUGGGGUAGUGGCUUACCAAGGCUUUGACGGGUAGCCGGCCUGAGAGGGUGACCGGCCACAUUGGGACUGAGAUACGGCCCAGACUCCUACGGGAGGCAGCAGUGGGGAAUAUUGCACAAUGGGCGGAAGCCUGAUGCAGCAACGCCGCGUGCGGGAUGACGGCCUUCGGGUUGUAAACCGCUUUCGCCUGUGACGAAGCGUGAGUGACGGUAAUGGGUAAAGAAGCACCGGCUAACUACGUGCCAGCAGCCGCGGUGAUACGUAGGGUGCGAGCGUUGUCCGGAUUUAUUGGGCGUAAAGGGCUCGUAGGUGGUUGAUCGCGUCGGAAGUGUAAUCUUGGGGCUUAACCCUGAGCGUGCUUUCGAUACGGGUUGACUUGAGGAAGGUAGGGGAGAAUGGAAUUCCUGGUGGAGCGGUGGAAUGCGCAGAUAUCAGGAGGAACACCAGUGGCGAAGGCGGUUCUCUGGGCCUUUCCUGACGCUGAGGAGCGAAAGCGUGGGGAGCGAACAGGCUUAGAUACUCUGGUAGUCCACGCUGUAAACGGUGGGUACUAGGUGUGGGGUCCAUUCCACGGGUUCCGUGCCGUAGCUAACGCUUUAAGUACCCCGCCUGGGGAGUACGGCCGCAAGGCUAAAACUCAAAGGAAUUGACGGGGCCCCGCACAAGCGGCGGAGCAUGCGGAUUAAUUCGAUGCAACGCGUAGAACCUUACCUGGGUUUGACAUGGAUCGGGAGUGCUCAGAGAUGGGUGUGCCUCUUUUGGGGUCGGUUCACAGGUGGUGCAUGGCUGUCGUCAGCUCGUGUCGUGAGAUGUUGGGUUAAGUCCCGCAACGAGCGCAACCCUUGUUCACUGUUGCCAGCACGUUAUGGUGGGGACUCAGUGGAGACCGCCGGGGUCAACUCGGAGGAAGGUGGGGACGACGUCAAGUCAUCAUGCCCCUUAUGUCCAGGGCUUCACGCAUGCUACAAUGGCUGGUACAGAGAGUGGCGAGCCUGUGAGGGUGAGCGAAUCUCGGAAAGCCGGUCUCAGUUCGGAUUGGGGUCUGCAACUCGACCUCAUGAAGUCGGAGUCGCUAGUAAUCGCAGAUCAGCAACGCUGCGGUGAAUACGUUCCCGGGGCU
rnacentral:rRNA from 1 species